rnacentral:lncRNA from 1 species
GGUACCAACAGUAAUAUUUUGAAGGUGAACAUCUGAAAGCCUUAAACUGAAGAGCUGAUUCCUAUGAAGAAAUCUGUGUGCAUCAUCACAUGAAGUGCACUGGUGGCACAAAUGCAAGCCUUAAAAGUCUUGUUAACACAAAAUAACACUGGCGGAUUCAAGAUGCUGCAAUACAUUUUUAGGGCAGCCAAUUGGAUUCCAGGAACGCAAAGCAAUUCCAGGUCAUGUUGUAACCAUCAAUUUGCUGCCCCUUGACUACUCCCAAGUUUGGUCCUAGUCUCACCAUGUACAUCAAUAUGGGUGUAUGCUAUAACAUUAGGAUCUAUUAUUAGAAUAUGCACUAGAAUUUAUCCAAAAGCAAAGACAAGCUAACAUCAAGUGCUUCAGUUGGCUGAAGAAAGGGACCCCAUGCCAUGAGGCCAUGACUUGCUCUGUCAUAAGCCCGCUGUAUGAACCGCAAGAUAUGACCAGUAGUAGUGUGAUCCAGAUACUCAAGUCUGGAAUGAUUUUGUAGCAUUGCCACUGGACCUCAGACGCUUAUAUUCACAUAAAUCAGAAUGAAGCUGCAUUAACAAAUAAAUUUCAGAAAUGAGAAGCAAUAACAACAGUUUAAGAAAAGAAUACAUGUUACAUAUAGUAAUAUUUCCCUGCAGCCCAAUGGUACGAAUAAAUCAAAGUCGUUGUAUUUGGCAGUGAAGCUAAAAGAUAUAAAAUGCAAAUUAACUAUGAUGUCACUGCCAAAGAAGCAUAAAUAGCAAUCAAUGUCUAAUGAAAAAUCAGAACAGAAGGAAUUAUUUUCAGAAAGUAUAAAUCACCUACAUACAUUUUUUUUGCUACAUCAGUUGGCGAAGGCCCUCUUGCAUAUGUCAAAAAUAGUACUACUAUGUUUAGAAAAGCCGCUCACAACACAAAAAAUGACAUGACAAUCAGAAGAUCAUAGCAGGAAAUAUAACCCUGAUGAAGGGUUAGACCUCUAUUCCGAUUGCUCUUAAAAGCUUUGCAUGGUAAUAUGAUAUUUACAAAGGUUGCCUAGAUUUUAACAAGAAAAUGUUACUGCUGAUAUGCCAAAUUAAAAAUGGGACAAUCUGCUAGUGCUAAGUCAUAAAUAACCAGUAUUUCCUAUUUUUAUCAAGUAAACUGCAAAUCUAGCAUGAAGAGAAUUGACUGUUUAAAGGUGUACAACUAAUAGUCAUAAGAUUAAGUACACCAUUUUUCAUGGAUGAAUAUGGUACUCAAAGAAGAAUACUCGUUGAGAUAAAAUGCGUUCCAUGCCAAAAAAAAGAACAUCCGAAUCAUUACUGGGGCAAGAUGGGAACUAUAAAAGAACAUGCAUCACAUAUGAACAAGUGAAAACUCAUGGAAGUGACAUGCCUUCGAACUUGAGAUCCAUUCUCCAGCCUCAUUUUUGUACUAUUUAUGGAACUCCAGUUAUGCUUUCAUUGUAGACCGUGCAACUUCUUAGUAGGAUGUAAACAAAUAAAGCGAUUGAAUAUCAAAAGCAUGAAUGGACCACAAAUCAUGAAAAAUUAAAAUCGGAGGACCGACAUGUUCACAAGCUAUGGAAAAAUGUUCUUCACCAAAAUUUUACCGCAUCUUAUUUCUUUUUCUGUUUCUUUCAUAAAACUGCACAAUUGUGACCCCGCUUCUGCUUCUGCCUGCUUGUCCUCGAGUCACUCACAGGCGCCAAGAACUAAAUACUAAAACAAUCAAUGGUCGUCCCAAGGACCAAUAAGAUGUUAAAUUGUUGCAUGAUCGACACGCGCACAUGCAGAUGACCCAGAGCCAAUACACGAGGACGGGGAGAAGGAGAAACAAGAAGCACCUAGAGCUGAGCUUAAUUUAAUUAGCUGUUUGGUUCGUGUUUUCUGUCUCCAUAUGCAUCAUUGAUGUGUCUAUUGUAGCCUGCAAGAAAAGUCCACGAGAGCCUGCUUUCCCACACGCACACCUAAUGAACAAAGCCAGCCACACACGCACCAUUUGGCAUGGCCUCCUCCCAUCUGAACAAGUGACAACAAAACAUUUCCAGCAUCGUGAAAUCCAAUACAUUAGCAACAAGUACAUAAGCAACAACGUCGGUCGGGUAUAUGCAUAUUGUCGUAUGCAGUAAAGGUGCCAUGAUUAUUAGUUUAUUACCACCACACCAUUUUGUACGGUCUAGAACAUGUAUAUGGACUGAUUGUGAGGCUACAAAAAAAGGAGUACAAUGGGUCCUUGUACGCCAAAGUAUCUAUCUACAUACAUCUAAUUAAAUUCAGAUAUCCGGUGAAAUGUGUAAGGCUGAACCAAAAUGUAGAACAAAGGAGCUGCUCGAUCGAGUAUUUACCAAGCCCAAUUCAUACCAACAAUGUUUCAAUGGUUUGCAGUUCUGAAAUUGGUCACGACUAUCUUCGGUAAGGACGAGCACAUCUCAAAAUUAAUUGAAGAAAACUUGCACAACCAUUGGUACUAUGAGUAACUCUACUGAUUGUUUGCAGCCUCUGAGAUUAUCCUAAUAAAAUCUCACCCAAGCAAUCCGUUGAACUCGCAUAGAGAAGAACCGCCUUUUCAGUAAUGCUGCUGGCAGGGAAACUAAUACAGAAUUCAGUUGGCAUGCAUUUACUAAAAGUGAACUGUCUAACACAUGAAUUUUCUCAGUGGCGCAGCUCAUAGAGAAGCUAAUGCAGAAUUCAUUAUCCAGACUAAUUUUUCACAGUCAGUAUUUUGGUUAAUAGUCCCCAAAUUAAUUUGGCUGAAGCCAGCAACAUGGAUAUGUUUAGAUUGUACUAACAUUUAAUUACUGCCGAAAUAUCAAUUCAGUUAGAGGACAUGAUUAUAAAUAACACUAAAUAAGCAAUCUGCUCUUUAUAUGCGUUCCUGCAUGAUGGCCUAUUUAACAAUCGCCUCCCACCCAAAUUAAUCAGACUGUGCACAUGCAAAAGGAAAUUAUGAGAUAUAUAAUUGACAAGCAUCCUCACAAACAGAUCUGUGCAUCACCGAUUCACACAAUCAUAAAUAUACCCAUAAGCCCAAUUUAGCAAUCACAUAAGCAUGGAUGUCUCUAAUCCAACAACCACAUGUACUUAUGCCAAUAAUCUAACAAGAAAACAGCUUUUGCCUGCUCUAGGUGGACAUGGCAGGGGGGAGAGACAUGAGCAGCGCAACAUAUACCUGUUUCCUACGUGAGUAGCUCGGCGUCGUAAGCCAUGGCGAUGGAUCCACACCAUCUGCCACCCAUAGGUGGACAUGGCGUUGAUGUCGCCCAUUAGGCACUCAACUCGCCGCCGUCGUGCUCAUCGACGAGAGCCGCCUCCAUCAAAAGGAUGAGCCGAGAGGGGAGGAAGCGAAGGAGGGCGGGUGGAGGCGGCUCGCACGGUGAGGAGGCGACGAGUCAAGCGGGCGAGGCGGCAGCUGGUGGGAGGAGGCGACAGGGAGAGAAGGGAAUAGGAGAAGGGCGGCGAAACCCUAGCCGCCACUCGAGGAGGAGAAGACGCGAGAGAUGAGGAGACGAGCGAGUUUUACCUGGGGAGGUGUUAUCUGGACCCGUUUCCCUCUCUCUCUCUCUUUCUCGUUACGUGUAGCGAUCCGGUAAAAUGGACACGUGUACCAUGCCAAUGAGCGCUCUUACUGC